ACCCCGGCCCGGGCGGCCGCGCUGUGGGGCUGGAGCGGGCCUGUUCCCGGCUCCUCGCCUGCUCCCGUCGCCGCGGCAGGCUGGUCCCGGCACAAGCACCCACCCCGGGCCACCAGCAGCAGCCACCAGGGCUCUCGGGGCAGAUACCGGGACCGCAGCACGCUUCCAGACCCAACUCAAACAGAAACAUAUACACACGCGUGUAUAUGUAAAUAUAAAUAUAUAUAUAUACAUACAUACACACAUACAUACACACCCACACACUGAACACUCACUGUGGAAACGGCGUACAGAACGAACCGUCCGAGGUGCUGCGCUUUGCGAGAAGGCAAACGAAAGUAGACUCGCGACCGCAGAAAAGAUUCAUCGAUGUUUCCACAUCUCUGAUGGCCAUCUGGAAGAGAGGGUUCAAACAUCGCUUAUGUUCGCAGGCACGUGAGGACAAGGUUGCGAAGGUCUGCACAAAUCUCUCUGCACAAGACACAACUCAAGAAAAUCCUCCAUCCUUAUGGUCCCAGUUGUGUUGCAUGAUGACAUGUCCCUGCAUUUUCGUUUGAGGCCCCCUUUAAUUUGAAAGCAGACAAUGUUUAAUCUGAAUGAAGGGUACCUUCCUCCACCGGUUUCAGCAUGGUUUAAUCACUCAUCUAACAAUGGUGUCCAGAGCCCAUCAAGAGAACAUAAAUGCAAAAUAAACCAUUAGCAGUGAACUUCAUCAGUGGAGCUACGUGUACACAAAAAACUUCUGAAAACUACUUUGUAGAUGAGACUUCUCAAAUUCUUGUCUUCAGUAUGCACUUGAAUGAAAGAACCUUCUUUGCUGCUUUUGGGUAGUGAUACAGUAACUGCUAAGGACACCCAUCAGGAAAGAUCAAAAAAGGAAAAGAAGUGAUCAAAUUCAUUGCAAAUGGUCCUGGUUUACACACUUUACAAACCCAUCCUUUUCUGAUACCUUUCAGGAUCAUAGUAUAUAGAGGAAGAAUGUCUGCGUGCUACCUGGCAGAUGAUACCUGUUAAAUAAUUCCAUAUGAUAGUGAAGGUGUGAUUAUCUAAAAUAAAGUGUUACUUAUCA